AUGAGGUGAGUUAUUGAAUCUAGUGCCAUUAUGUUAAAGUCAUUUUAUUUUUUCCACAAUUUUUUUUUUUUUUCUUGCAGGUAAUCUUAAACGUGGCCUGGUGUGGUUUGCCGCAGAGAAAGGAGCUGAACUGUCUCUGUCCUGCGUAAAGCUCCAAACAUGGAUGAAAACUGUCUUCAGUACCCACAGGAAACACUGAUCAUCCCACUGCAGCAGCACUGGAGACAGUCUGAUGGAGCCGUUCAAGACAUGUUCUCCCUGUGUCAGUGUGGGUUUCCUCCAGGUGCUCUG